AACGAACGCUGGCGGCGCGCCUAACACAUGCAAGUCGAACGAGAAGGCGUAGCAAUACGCUUGUAGAGUGGCGAACGGGUGAGUAAUACGUGGGUGACCUACCCUCGAGUGGGGAAUAACCCGCCGAAAGGCGGGCUAAUGCCGCGUACGCUUCCGUCCUCACGGGGACGAAGGAAAGCUGUACCGUGGGUACGGCGCUCAAGGAUGGGCUCACGUCCUAUCAGCUUGUUGGUAGGGUAACGGCCACCAAGGCUACGACGGGUAGCUGGUCUGAGAGGACGAUCAGCCACACUGGCACUGCGACACGGGCCAGACUCCUACGGGAGGCAGCAGUGAGGAAUAUUGCGCAAU
rnacentral:rRNA from 1 species